rnacentral:tRNA from 1 species
GGGGCCUUAGCUCAGCUGGCUAGAGUGCUUGACUGGCAGUCAAGAGGUCACGGGUUCGACUCCCGUAGGCUCCA